rnacentral:rRNA from 1 species
AUUGAACGCUGGCGGCAGGCCUAACACAUGCAAGUCGAGCGGAUGAAGGGAGCUUGCUCCUGGAUUCAGCGGCGGACGGGUGAGUAAUUCCUAGGAAUCUGCCUGGUAGUGGGGGAUAACGUCCGGAAACGGGCGCUAAUACCGCAUACGUCCUGAGGGAGAACGUGGGGGAUCUUCGGACAUCACGCUAUCAGCUGAGCCUAGGCCGGAUUAGCUAGUUGGUUGGGUAAAGGCCUACCAAGGCGACGAUCCGUAACUGGUCUGAGAGGGUGAUCGGACACACUGGAACUGAGACACGGUCCAGACUCCUACGGGAGGCAGCAGGGGGGAAUCUUCCGCAAUGGGCGAAAGCCUGACGGAGCAACGCCGCGUGAGUGAAGAAGGUCUUCGGAUCGUAAAACUCUGUAAUCAGGGAAGAACAAAUGUAUAAGUAACUGUGCAUGUUUUGACGGUACCUAAUCAGAAAGCCACGGCUAACUUCGUG